UGGGGAAUAUUGCACAAUGGGCGCAAGCCUGAUGCAGCCAUGCCGCGUGUAUGAAGAAGGCCUUCGGGUUUUAAAGUACUUUCAGUCGGGAGGAAGGUGUCAAGGUUAAUAACCUUGGCAAUUGACGUUACCGACAGAAGAAGCACCGGCUAACUCCGUUCCAGCAGCCGCGGUAAUACGGAGGGUGCAAGCGUUAAUCGGAAUUACUGGGCGUAAAGCGCACGCAGGCGGUUGAUUGAGUCAGAUGUGAAAUCCCCGGGCUUAACCCGGGAAUUGCAUCUGAUACUGGUCAGCUAGAGUCUUGUAGAGGGGGGUAGAAGUCAAUGUGUAGCGGUGAAAUGCGUAGAGAUGUGGAGGAAUACCGGUGGCGAAGGCGGCCCCCUGGACAAAGACUGACGCUCAGGUGCGAAAGCGUGGGGAGCAAACAGG
rnacentral:rRNA from 1 species